CCGUUGUGGAUCUCCUGGGAGGUCACUCACCCCGGGCACUGCCCAGGUGGCACAGAGGAGCAGAGGGCUCUGCUGCUGAGGUCCAGUCCCUUUGCGCCCUGCUGGAGAUCAAACUGGGCCCGAGCCUGCACAUUCCUACAGCUUCUCGAGGUCCUAGACGAUGACCAAGGAGAUGAACCAUGCAGGAAACAGAA